AUUGAACGCUGGCGGCAGGCCUAACACAUGCAAGUCGAACGGCAGCGGGGGGUAGCUUGCUACCUCGCCGGCGAGUGGCGGACGGGUGAGUAAUGCCUGGGGAGCUGCCCAGUCGAGGGGGAUACCAGUUGGAAACGACUGCUAAUACCGCAUACGCCCUGAGGGGGAAAGAUGGGGAUCUUCGGACCUAUCGCGAAUGGAUGCACCCAGGUGGGAUUAGCUAGUUGGUGAGGUAACGGCUCACCAAGGCGACGAUCUCUAGCUGGUCUGAGAGGAUGACCAGCCACACUGGAACUGAGACACGGUCCAGACUCCUACGGGAGGCAGCAGUGGGGAAUAUUGCACAAUGGGGGAAACCCUGAUGCAGCCAUGCCGCGUGUGUGAAGAAGGCCUUCGGGUUGUAAAGCACUUUCAGCGGGGAGGAAGGGGAGCAAGCUAAUACCUUGUUUCAUUGACGUUACCCGCAGAAGAAGCACCGGCUAACUCCGUGCCAGCAGCCGCCGUAA
rnacentral:rRNA from 1 species